AUAUCAGUCAUGCAUAGCAUAUCAAUAAGCGGAGGAAAAGAAACUAACAAGGAUUCCCUUAGUAACGGCGAGUGAAGCGGGAAGAGCUCAAAUUUGAAAUCUUCAAGGUUUUACCUUGACGAAUUGUAGUUUAAAGAAGUGUUUUCUGUUGAAGUUUUGGUAAAAGUUCUUUGGAAUAGGACAUCAUAGAGGGUGAGAAUCCCGUAUUUGACCAUUACUUUCAGCUUUGUGAUACACUUUCAAAGAGUCGGAUUGUUUGGGAAUGCAGUCCAAAAUGGGUGGUAAAUUUCAUCUAAAGCUAAAUAUUGGCGAGAGACCGAUAGCGAACAAGUACCGUGAGGGAAAGAUGAAAAGAACUUUGAAAAGAGAGUUAAACAGUACGUGAAAUUGUCAAAAGGGAAGCGUUUGACGCCAGUGUUGUUUUCUCGAAAAUCAAUUAAAAAGAGUUGGAUUUUGUGUUGUAUUGACUUUAUCAGCUUUCUUCACUCUUUUCCAGCUUUUUUUAAUGCACUUUUCGUUUAACAAGUCAACAUCAGUUUCUUUUGUUGUAGAAAGGUCAUUGGAAGGUGGCUUUCUCUUCGGAGAAAGUGUUUAUAGCCUUUGACUCAUGCAAUCGGAGAGACUGAGGUCUGCAGCGUAGAUCCUUCGGGGUUAGAUACAUUUGUGCUAAGUUAUAGCUUUUCAUAGACAACUUGUUGACUAUGUUUAGUCUUGUAGCUUACUCGCUUAUGCUAUUUUACCUACGCUUAGGAUGUUGAACUCUAUCACACACAG
rnacentral:rRNA from 1 species